rnacentral:rRNA from 1 species
GACGAACGCUGGCGGCGUGCUUAACACAUGCAAGUCGAACGGACAGGCCCUGCUUUUGUGGGGUUCUCGAGUGGCGAACGGGUGAGUAACACGUGAGUAACCUGCCCUUGACUUUGGGAUAACUUCAGGAAACUCGGGCUAAUACCGGAUAGGAGCUCCUGCUGCAUGGUGGUGGUUGGAAAGUUUCGGCUGUUGUGGCUGGAUUCGCGGCUUACCAGCUUGUUUGUGGGGUAGUGGCUUACCAAGGCUUUGACGGGUAGCCGGCCUGAGAGGGUUACCGGCGACAUUGGGCCUGAGGUAGGGCGCAGAAGGGUACGGGAGGCAACGGGGGGGAGUAUUGCACAGUAGGCGGAAGCGUGAUGUAGAGGCGCCGGGUGCGGAAAGACGGCCUUCGGGUUGAAAACCGAUUUGGCAUGUGACGAGGCGGGAGUGACGGUAAUGGGUAAAGAAGCACCGGCUAACUACGUG